UACGGGGGGGGCAAGCGUUGUUCGGAAUUACUGGGCGUAAAGGGCUCGUAGGCGGCCAACUAAGUCAUACGUGAAAUCCCUCGGCUUAACCGGGGAACUGCGUCUGAUACUGGAUGGCUUGAGUUCGGGAGAGGGAUGCGGAAUUCCAGGUGUAGCGGUGAAAUGCGUAGAUAUCGAGCGGAACACCAGUGGCGAAGGCGAGUCCCUGGACAAUUCCUGACACUGAGGCACGAAAGCUAGGGGAGCAAACAGG
rnacentral:rRNA from 1 species